rnacentral:rRNA from 1 species
UCCGUAGGCGGGCAAUUAAGUCAGAGGUGAAAUCCCACAGCUCAACUGUGGAACUGCCUUUGAUACUGGUUGUCUUGAGUUAUAUUGAAGUGAGUAGAAUAUGUAGUGUAGCGGUGAAAUGCAUAGAUAUUACAUAGAAUACCGAUUGCGAAGGCAGUCUACUAACUGUAUACUGACGCUAAUGGACGAAAGCGUGGGGAGCGAACAGGAUUAGAUACCCUGGUAGUCC